CCUCAGUUACAUUGAUCAUUUCAAGUUAGCUGAAUAACAUUUAAUUUAAUGAGUAUUCCGAAGAUCAGUUUCGGCUGAACAUCAACACUUUUCUAUCUGAGCAGAAAGAGUACGUACUAAAUUAAUGAAUAUGAUUCAACCAUUUUGAGGGUAUUCUGAAUCAUUUUUCUUUUUAUGUGUCACCUGAAAUAAACUCCGGUAUUCCUUGCAGAGUUGCAUAUGAAGUUCUCUUGCUGGUUUUAGAAGUGUAAAUAACAUUGCACAGGAGGCAAGAAGAGACUACUGAGUGUCAAAUACGAACACUAAAUGAUGCAUGGUGGAAAGAAAGAAUGGGAAGAAGAGGAGGAGAGUACUGUUUGUGCCAGAAAAACAGAGAUGGCUUCCAACCCCACGGAGAAUGAAGCCCUGUACUGUGCUUUCUUCCAUGCUGUGCAUCACACUGGAAGGGACAGAGGGAAUGUGAGAGCAGCUGCCUUAGAUUCAGCAUCAACAAAUGGUCCCACAGAGUUCCUGCUGUCUGGGCAACUGAUCAAUUCACAUCCAGAUGCACGCUGCUCCAGCUCCCCUUGAUCAUCUUCAGUGUGCACUGAAUAAAUAAUUACUUCCUUCUACUCCCUAGCCCUUC
rnacentral:lncRNA from 1 species